AGACCCUCCCGGAGCAGACACAGACAGGCCACCAUUUCUGGCGCUCGGGUGCCCACCCGCCGAGCACCGGCGCACCGAGUCGGGGGCAGCGGGGUGGCCGCAGGGGUCAGGUCAGCGCCCUGGUCACACCGCCUUCCCCUGCGGCACCCAGUGCGCACAGGUCCUGGAGCAGGUGGGCGGCCCGUGGGGGUGCACGCGAGGUGCCGGGGCCGCGGGGCACCUAUGCACUCAGCCCAGGCGCAGGAAGGAGGUGGGGGCGCGGCGGGUGCCAGGUCCCAAGAGUGCCACACGGGAUCCCCGGGGGCUGGGCGUGGGGGCCACCGGCCCACAGGCUCAGGCAGUGGCGCCGCGGCGGGUCCAGGAUGGACUGUGGAGGAGUCCAGGCCGUGGGAGGCUGGGAGGUGCAGGCGGGACACAGCCAGAGGAGGUGGGCGGGCGCCGGGGGGGGCCCUCUGUGGGCUUGCCCCCUCAUGGCCACCUGCAGGCCCCACCCCCCGGGCUGUAACGUCUUGGCGCUUUCCUGUCUCCUGCUCCUUAGGCCCCAGCGCCCAGCUCCCGGACCCUGAGGCCAGGAAAGCAACCGGUCUGAUGAGCUGGGCGUGCAGGCGUUCCCACCCCGCCCUCCAGGGCCCCCACAGGACCAUCCUGCAGUGAGAGGCCGCCCCUGUCGGACGCGCUGGGCCUGGGAUGGAGACCGGGACCCCUUGGCCCACAGCCGUGGCCUCCGGGACGAGCCACGGGGCCAGCAGCAUCCGGACCACCGGCACGGUAGGUCUCCCACCUGCACACCACCAUCCCCCGGCCCAGAAGCCCCACCCCCAGCCUCACCUCGGCCUUCUUGGGGACCCUCCCCUCCCCUCCAUCCUAACCCACCUGGCCCUUCCUCUCCAGCGCUGACCACUCCUAGGACCCCCAAGCACCAUUCCCACCAGGGACCACAUCUCCUGAAAAGGCCCAUCAUGGAUUAAGGCAAAUGUCGUCAGGGCCCAGGGUAAGGGCCUCCCGCAGAGAGAGUGGGCCCCACAGGGACUUCUCGGGAGGCCCAGGAGGUACCUGAGGUCACCCACCCCCACCCUGCCACCCCUCCAGCACUGGGCGGCUCAGCCCCCACCCCCCUCGUCCACCAGGGCCCCAUGCUGGGCUCAGUCCAGGCCUACCCAGGACGCCCGGCAGGUGCUGGUCCAGCUGGGUGGGAGCACGCAGGGAAACCUGGGGGCAAGCCCCGCCAAGCCUGGCCCCGCUCCCCACCCCCGGGGCCGACCCCUCACCCCUCUCUGGCAGGCCCCUGGGUUCUUCCUCCCCCAACACACAGCCCAGCUCCCGUACCCCCAGACCGGGCGGGAGGCUCCUCUGAGUCAGUGCCCUGCAGCAGUCCUGUGGAGCUGAGCCCCAACUCGAGCUGAGCCCUGACUCAUGUGUAGGGAAUGGCCUUGUGCUGCAUGGCCGGGGGGCAGGAGCCGGGAGGGUGCCAGAGAGGCCCGAGCCAGCGCUUUGGAGGCCUCUGCAGAAGCUGGGGGUCGGGCCAACUGCUGGAGUCCACAGGCCGGAGACCUGGAGGGUCAUGAGCCCGGGGCUGUGCCAGCCUAACCGUGUACUUCUGGGGUCUCUUGGGCACGGGGUGAAGGUCCACAGGGCCCUCCUCUACCCCAAAACU
rnacentral:lncRNA from 12 species